UGGAAGUAAAAGUCGUAACAAGGUUUCCGUAGGUGAACCUGCGGAAGGAUCAUUACCGAGUUAGGGUCGCCUUCCGGGUGCCCGAUCUCCCAACCCUCUGUCUAAAUUACCUCAGUUGCUUCGGUGGGCCGGGCGCGACCAACAGGCUUAGUAGGCCAGGCUGGCUUCGUGAACGGUGGCCGGGGAAUUCCCCCGGCGGCAGAGUGCCCACCGAUGGCCUCCACAAAACUCUUGAUACCUAACCCUGUCGUCUGAAUUUACUUGAUAUUGAAUCAAAAACAAAACUUUCAACAACGGAUCUCUUGGUUCUGGCAUCGAUGAAGAACGCAGCGAAAUGCGAUAAGUAAUGCGAAUUGCAGAAUUUCCGUGAGUCAUCGAAUCUUUGAACGCACAUUGCGCCCACUGGUAUUCCGGUGGGCAUGCCUGUUCGAGCGUCAUUAUCCUCCCUCAAAACUCCUGUUUUGGUGUUGGGCCGCGUUGGUCACCCCCGACCAACGGGCCUCAAAGACAAUGACGGCGUCCGUGGGACCCUCUUCGCAACGAGCUUUCAUUAGCACGCGUUGAGUCUAAAGGACCUUCCGGGCCGGCCACCUAGUUAUUUAUUUUACAAGGUUGACCUCGGAUCAGGUAGGAAUACCCGCUGAACUAAGCAUAUCAAUAAGCGAGA
rnacentral:sRNA from 1 species